GGAAUGUUGCAGGAGGAGAAGGCCUUGCUAGAUCUUUCAACAUUGUCACCUGCAGAUGGAGGAUUUCCAGACAUUUGAUCUGCAACUCAGAAAAGAGGGCUGUUUAGGAGGACAUUUGUAUUUUGGAAGAAAGUGAGAAAGGGGUUGGAGCAGUUUAGCAGGAGGGAGAAAAUGGGAGAGAACUUUCCUUUAUGAAGUCUUCUCUGGUUUUCUUCAGUUCGAUGUUCUCUAUUACAUAGGUAGCUAUUUUCCAACUGAUAAAAAAUAUAGUUAAUGCUAACUAAAAGCAGGAGUGCAUUAUUUUGAAAUCUUUGAGUGAAGAGCCAAUUUCUGAGACUCCAAAUUCCAAUAAACAGCACUUUGUUAGCAUUCAUAACCAUUUAUGUAUUUAUCACUCACAUACUUGCAUACAAGUAGAACUAGUUUCUCCUCAAGUGGGACAUGACAGGUACGUGUUGCUUUUGAUGCUCUGGCCACAAGAACACCUGUUCUUGCUUAGCAUCUCUUUGUACUUUGGGGAUUUGUAGCUGUUUCUUUCAAUUCAGCUGAGAAGUAACAUGAGGCUUAGAUCCACAAAUCCACCUCCUGGGAGCUGGACGCCCAUCUCCAUUUGGCUCUGUAGGGUCAAGAUGUCAUUGAUGGUGCAAGUGCCUGUGCCUGCGCUGCCCUCUCACAGCACACCUCCUCCUUUUAGCCAUCUUCACAAAUCACUAGUUAGGCACCACUCUGCUGCAGGCUGGGGGAGCUUCCCUUCCUGAUUCUCCUUGCCCAUGCAGUGCUUAUUGCUUUCUUUGGCUUGGGCUUCCCUCCAUGCUCUUGUUCACAUUAUUGAUACAUGUUAUCUCCUCAAGCUUUAAGUAGUUUCCCACAUUGCAUCCUCUCACAUUCUUAUUCUUAUGUUAGAUUUAUUUUAAUUAUUAUAUUUGAAUAUAUGAUUCAAUAAUAUUCCACAUUUCUGCCUAAUAUUUGUUUUUUUUUCUUUUAGUAUUUAUCAGUUUCUGCCUUAUGUGGUUGAUUGUAUGUCUGUCCUAUCUGAGUUCAUGCAUCUAACAGUCAUACUACUGUAACCAUCAUAUCUUCACAAAAAAAAAAAGUGUUCUGCUUUCUAUACUUGAGUACAAGAUCAUUUCCUCGGCCCUGUAUUCUCUGCAGUACCAGCACAGUGCCUUGGGUAUCAUGGUCACUCAAAUAUUUGAUCAAGGGCAGAGUUCUUGUGGAAGGAAUGAGUCCAGUGUGGUCUGUGGUGUGCAUGAGAAAAUAAGCAGCAAAGGUCAUGGAGUAAGAAGUUCGAAGCCAUUAUUAAAGAAUGGCCGUGGGUAAAAUGAUUGGAUUCUGCCAUGGAACAUGAAGGAAGCACUGCAUUAGCGAGUCCUGAAGAUCCUUUCCAGCUCUUUGAUUAUAUGACAUUCUGACUAGCACAAAGAGGCACACCUGCAAUCCUACUGAGAGUUCCAUGGAUCAUUAAUGAUUAUUCAUGGUGAAGGAAGCAGAGACACAAUUGUGUCCAGAAUUGGUGGGUUCUUGGUCUCGCUGACUUCAAGAAUGAAGCUGUGGACCCUCACGGUGAGUGUUAGUUCUUAAAGAUGGUGCAUCCGGAGUUUGUUCCUUCUGAUGUUCAGACAUGUCUGGAGUUUCUUCCUUCU
rnacentral:lncRNA from 1 species